rnacentral:miRNA from 1 species
GCGCCUGAGCUGAGGAG